UUAGUGUGUGUGACAUAGCAAAAUGAUAUCAUCACAGCUCCAUGCAAUUCAGAAUGUGUCACUUGAAAAUGUUAAGGUGAUUGAAUAGUAAAUGGAGUAAUGGAAACCAUCUACAAAGAGACUGCUGCAGUUAGUACUUUGUGUUGGAGUGCAAAAAAUAAAAGCUGUUGAAUGCAAGCCGGUACUUAUUACUGGACAAGUGGAUUGCCACAGAGGCACCGUCAUGUUGGAAGAACACAAUUUACAGCUAAUUGGUGAAGCUGAUUCACUGGUUAUAUCAAAUGCAUCAAAUAAUGUUUUGGCAAGGGCGCUAUGUUUCUUCUUGAAGCAAGCUAUAUUGUAUAGUGUUACCAGGAAGAAGAGGAGGGCUCAGAAGUCACAAAAUGGUUCACUUUUGAACAAGAUUAUUUGCGCCAGUCGGCCGCUCGGCGAGAUGAUGUCGUUCCGUGGCGGCCGCUGUGCUCGUUGUUGCAGGAUGAUGGUCGUCCC